UUGACCAAACCUUGUCCCUUAAUUAGACUACCCUAUCAGUCCUCUCCCGUUUCACUCUCUCAUCAUCCCUCUUCUCUCUCUUUCUCUUUCUCUCACUCCAUCGGAGGCGACCCUCCUACCGGCCACGGUCUACCAGUGUCGCAGGCGACGGUACAACCCACCUCCUCACCGGCGACGGUACAAUCCACAUCCCCACCAGCGACGGUACCACCCAUCUCCCCACCAGCAAUAGAACAGUCACCACCAAACCUCACCCCCGGCUCACCACUCCACCGUAGCUGGCCACCGUCGCAAGUCACACCGUCAAUGCCGCAAAUCACAGAGAAAAAAUUUUGAUGUCAAAAAUCAAAAUCAAUGAAAUGUGAUAGUGAGAAACUUUGGAUCUGGAGUGGGAAUCACAAUUGGGAUCGUGGUUGGGCAUUAUCUGUUUAUAUAUUUCCAAACAAGUGAUGUCAAGAGGAGCAAGAAGGACGGGCAAGAUUGUCAAAUGACUACAUAUCAUUUGUUGGCCUUCUUGGAGAUCCACGUUAUUGUGAUGACUUUGAUGCGUGGACUUCUAUAGAUAUUUUGGUGUAUGGAGAAGAAAUUGUACUUGUGUAUGGAGAAGAAAUUGUACUUUUGUAUAGAAGUAAUAUAAUACUUUUGUCAUCUCCGGCUUUUGUGCAGUUAUCUAUUACUGAUACAGAAAACUUUUGGCAGCCAACAGAUAAUUACUGGCAUGGUAGAUAGAUCACCUUUUGUCGCCAUACAGAUAUAUGAUUUUUUGUCAUGGUACAUAGAUGUACUUUUGGCUUGGUACAAAGUACGAUGGGAAUUUGUACCAUGUCAAAUGGUCGUUUCACAUGGUAUAGUAAAUGUAAUUUUUGUAUAUGGAGGGCUUUACUUUUUGUAUGAUUCUAUAUUUUGUAUGGAAUUGUUAUUUUAGUUUGGACAAUA